rnacentral:lncRNA from 1 species
ACUAUGAUAGAUACAUAUAUAAUUUUCUAAAACAUUAAAUUACCUUAUAAUGCUUACAUUUCAUAAAAUUUCUAAAAUAUGAACAUGUCUAUUUCUACAAAUAUGUUUCUAAAAUAUUUGCAUAUUUGAUGUUUACAUAAAUCUAAAUUGAUAUCACAUGUACUUUGCUUCAAUAUAUCAUAUUUUUAGGACAUUGUUCAAUUGACCCAUCCUUUUGCUAAAUCAAUCCAUCUAAACAAGAAUCACACAUUUGGGAUUUAACAUCUUCUUGUAAAUCAAGCAAAGUUAUGAAAGUAGAGCCCACAAAGCACCUCUAUCACAGCUAACUACCAAAGCCUACUCACAAAACAAUGAAACUGGACACACAUUCCUCCAAUCUAUCCUAUUAUACACCCUCCACCC